CUAUUCUAACAGACUCACUCCUAAUGAGCCCCUCCAGGAUAAAGGCUGGUCUCCUCACUGUCCUCUCCCUGGGCUGGUUCCUCGGUAUGUCUCCCUGUGGCAUCUCCUACAGCUGAAUGUCAAUACCGGCCUGGAAGGAUUCCUGUCUGUGGCUGAGAAAGGCUGUAUGCACUCUUUACCCCUCUGUUAUGGAAACCACAAAUCCUGUGGCUACAGCUGUGUUCUCGUGGCUUCCUGGUGGGGUAAGGCUCUGGUUGGAUGCUCCUCCAGGCCCUGCAGAGCUCCACCUGACCGCUGGGUCCACUUGUUCAUGCAAGCAGCCUCAGCCUUCCCCCAGAGGCAAGGCUCCGUCCUGUCCUGAAGAAACAGAUUCCUGGCUUCUGGUGCAGCUUCUGCGACUUGGCUUCAGUCUCUUUGUAGAUUAACUCAUUCAGGCAUCCUGGCUUCUGAGUUCAGGGCCUGACCACUGGGCAGGAGCCCUCCCCGUGAGCCGUCUCCGUGCCUGAGUCUCACCCUGGGAAUUCCCAAGCCUGUGGUCCAUCAGCCUGGUUACGGUGAAGUCCGGUCCAGGGUGAGAGACUGCAGUGUCUCCUCAGAUGGCCUCGCAGGGCACCUUGCCAGGCCCUUUUUCCUCUGGAGCCUGGCCUAGCUCACACAGGCCGCUCUGUGAGGCUGUGGGCAGGAGGCCUCUCUUGCCAGCAGUGUUCAGUUACCCCAGUGACAUUCAAUUGUUCCUAAGAGAAGAGGCCUGUUUUUGGCAACUCGCAGACCUGGAUUCCAGGAAGCUCUGCCUGACUCCUUUCCUGUUUGUUUCCAAUCAGCCAGUUGUCCAGUAUCACUUUCCACCAGAUUGCGUAAGUCCACCAGCUGCUCUCAUUCUCUCUCUCUUGUCUCCGUACCUCUCUGAGCUCACACCAGCCUGGGAGGAAGACGCAGGGCAUAUCAGCAGGAGUUUGGUGCUGCCCAAAUAGACCCAAAUCACAGCUUGGCCCCACCAAGUUUCCAGUUUCUAGGGAUGUGUGACUUACCCUAGAACGAGGAUCCCAGGGUCUCAGCCCAGAAAUGAGAUCCCUAGGGUGGCAUUUCAGCCCCGUGGGAGGGACCUAUGGCUGUGAAUACACUGGCAUGGCCCCUUUACCCUCUGCAGAGUAGUUUGGCAGGAGCUAGGAAAACUGAAAUUGGACAUGCAACUCUGGAAGCAACUGCUUGAGCUCAAAUCCUGGCUCUGUCACUUACCGGCUGUGUGACUUUGGGCAAAUUACUGAACCUCUCUGUGCUCAGUUUCUGCAUCUGUACUAUAUAGAUAACAACAAAACCUCCUUUAUUAGACUGUAAUAAGAUUUAAAUCAUGUAACACAUGGAAAGGGCUCAGUACAAUGCUUGGCACAUAAUAAAGCCUGAAUAAAUACAAGAGAUUAUUAUUAUAAUUAUCACAAUAACUAUUAUUAAUAUUCAUGAGAGAAAGGUCAUAUUUAUGCCUAAGGAGAUAGGAUAGUAAUAUUCAUUGCAGCAUGAUUUUUAAUGGUAACAGAUUGAAAACAGCCUGAAUAUUUCUCAGUAGGAAAUGGCUAAGCCAAUUACCGUACAUCCCCACUAUGGAAUUCUGUGCGGCCGUUGAAAAAAAUGGGGCAGGGCGCCUGGGUGGCUCAGUUGGUUAAGCGACUGCCUUCA